rnacentral:lncRNA from 1 species
CAGAGACAGGUGCAUCCCUGAGGCUCACUGGCCAGCCAGUCCAGCAGAAAUAGAGAGCCUCAGGACCCAACGAGAGACUCUGUCAAAAAAAAAAAAAAAAAAAAAAAAAAAAAAAAAAAACAACAACAACAACAACAAAAAAAAAACAGCAAGAGGUGGACAGAUCCUGAGGAAUAAUACCAUGGUUGCCCCUGACUUCCACAAGCAGAUGCUCAGGUCACCUGUUUCUCUUCAUCCUUUCAAGAUUUUUACCCUUUGCUUCAUUCAUCACUGCCUACAAUUUGCAGUGUAACAUUGAAUGGAAUUGGUGAGAGAGACCAUUUUCAUCUUGUUCCGGAGCUGAAGCAGAAGGCUUUUCACACACCCACUUCUCAUGUUUGUGAGCUGGUUUCCAUUUCUAGCUUGCUGAGGCUUUCUCUCUUUUUAACUGUGAAUCAUCAUUAAUCAAGGCAGUGCGUUUUUCCAUCAAUUCAUUUAUUGCAGUGACUCUCAACCUACGGUCGAGACCCCUUUGGCAAAUGUGUAUCUCUAAAAAAUGUUUACAUUGAGAUUCACAACAUAGCGACAUUGCAGUUACGAAGUAGCAAUGAAAAUAAUUUUAUGAUUGGGGGGUCACCACAGCAUGAACAUUAGGAAGGUUGAGAACCACUGAUCUAAAGGAAGGCAUGAGACUUGAACAGAUGUCUAUGGACUUCCCCCAAGCUUCAAGUUCACCAUCAACUCCAAUUUUUAAUAUAAACUUGAAACCAUAUAGUCCUCAGCAAUCCUUUUAUUCUCCACACUAUUUCCUGUUUUGAGAACCACUGAUCUAUUGAGAUGGAAAUGCAGACUUUUCUUUACAACAUCUUCAGGUCUGGAAAUGCAGCUCUGGAAAAGGGCACUUGCCUGCCAUCCACAUGGCCCAGGCUAUAGCACUGCAACACACAAACAGUGUUUACCUUUUGUAAAUCACACCAAUUGAUAUUCAAGUGUUUUAAAAUCAACCUUGUUUUCUGAGGACAAUCCCACUUACUGGUGAGACACACCUCUUGCCUACUGCUGGAUUCUGAUUACUAAUAUUUCUUAAUGAUAUUUCCAUAUGUUUAUGAAGGGCAUUGGUCCAUGCUUCUCUUUUCUUAAAUUGUUAUCUACAUUUUGUAUCAAGGUGUUCCAGGCUCAUGAAAUGAAUUUUGAUUGAUUGUUUCCUAUUUCAUUUACUGAAUAAAUUUACAUGGGAUUAUACAUUCUUUUUCUCUUAAAUGUUUUAAUAAAU